rnacentral:rRNA from 1 species
GAUUAACGCUGGCGGCGUGCCUAACACAUGCAAGUCGAGCGGCAGCGAGUUUUACACUGAAUUCUGGAAGCUUCUAGUUGAAAGAGAAGAUUUAUUCAAGAAUUUUGUGUAAAAUGUCGGCGAGCGGCGGACGGCUGAGUAACGCGUGGGAACGUACCCCAAAGUGAGGGAUAACGCAUCGAAAGGUGUGCUAAUACCGCAUAUGGUCUUCGGAUUAAAGCCUUCGGGCGCUUUGGGAACGGCCUGCGUAAGAUUAGAUAGUUGGUGGGGUAAUGGCCUACCAAGUCGACGAUCUUUAACUGGUUUGAGAGGAUGAUCAGUCAGACUGGAACUGAGACACGGUCCAGACUACUACGGGAGGCAGCAGUGAGGAAUCUUCCACAAUGGGCGAAAGCCUGAUGGAGCAACGCCGCGUGCAGGAUGAAGGCCUUCGGGUUGUAAACUGCUUUUAUAAGUGAGGAUUAUGACAGUAACUUAUGAAUAAGGAUCGGCUAACUACGUG